rnacentral:tRNA from 1 species
GGAGUAGCUUAAUUGGUAGAGCAUCAGACUCUGAAUCUGAGGGUUAUAGGUUCGAGUCCUAUCUC